CCUACGGGCGGCAGCAGUGAGGAAUAUUGGUCAAUGGACGAGAGUCUGAACCAGCCAAGUAGCGUGAAGGAUGACUGCCCUAUGGGUUGUAAACUUCUUUUAUAUGGGAAUAAAACGUUCCACGUGUGGGAUUUUGUAUGUACCAUAUGAAUAAGGAUCGGCUAACUCCGUGCCAGCAGCCGCGGUAAUACGGAGGAUCCGAGCGUUAUCCGGAUUUAUUGGGUUUAAAGGGAGCGUAGGUGGAUUGUUAAGUCAGUUGUGAAAGUUUGCGGCUCAACCGUAAAAUUGCAGUUGAAACUGGCAGUCUUGAGUACAGUAGAGGUGGGCGGAAUUCGUGGUGUAGCGGUGAAAUGCUUAGAUAUCACGAAGAAAUCCGAUUGCGAAGGCAGUUCACUGGACUGCAACUGACACUGAGGCUCGAAAGUGUGGGUAUCAAACAGGAUUAGAUACCCUUGUAGUC
rnacentral:rRNA from 1 species